rnacentral:rRNA from 1 species
GGGGAAUAUUGCACAAUGGGCGAAAGCCUGAUGCAGCAACGCCGCGUGAGUGAAGAAGGUUUUCGGAUUGUAAAGUUCUGUCAUCUGGGACGAUAAUGACGGUACCUGAGGAGGAAGCCACGGCUAACUACGUGCCAGCAGCCGCGGUAAUACGUAGGUGGCAAGCGUUGUCCGGAUUUACUGGGCGUAAAGGGAGCGUAGGUGGAUAUUUAAGUGGGAUGUGAAAUACUCGGGCUUAACCUGGGUGCUGCAUUCCAAACUGGAUAUCUAGAGUGCAGGAGAGGAAAGUAGAAUUCCUAGUGUAGCGGUGAAAUGCGUAGAGAUUAGGAAGAAUACCAGUGGCGAAGGCGACUCUCUGGGCUGUAACUGACGCUGAGGCGCGAAAGCGUGGGGAGCAAAC